rnacentral:rRNA from 1 species
UACAGAGGUGGCAAGCGUUGUUCGGAAUUACUGGGCGUAAAGGGCGCGUAGGCGGUCUUGUAAGUCCCGUGUGAAAUCCCUCGGCUCAACUGAGGAACUGCACGGGAAACUGCUUGGCUUGAGUUCGGGAGAGGGAUGCGGAAUUCCAGGUGUAGCGGUGAAAUGCGUAGAUAUCUGGAGGAACACCGGUGGCGAAGGCGGCAUCCUGGACCGACACUGACACUGAGGAGCGAAAGCCAGGGGAGCAAACGGG